rnacentral:rRNA from 1 species
CCUACGGGCGGCAGCAGUGGGGAAUAUUGCACAAUGGGGGAAACCCUGAUGCAGCGAAGCCGCGUGAGCGAUGAAGUAUUUCGGUAUGUAAAGCUCUAUUAGCAGGGAAGAAGAUGCCGGUACCCGACUAAGAAGCCCCGGAUAACUACGUGCCAGCCGCCGCGGUAAUACGUCGGGGGCAGGCGUUAUCCGGAUUUACUGGGUGUAAGGGGGGUGUAGACGGGGUUGCAAGCCAGAUGUGAAAGGCCGGGGCUCAACCCCGGGACUGCAUUUGGAACUGUGUGGCUGGAGUGUCAGAGAGGCAGGCGGAAUGCCUGGUGUAGCGGUGAAAUGCGUAGAUAUUAGGAAGAACACCGGUGGCGAAGGCGGCCUGCUGGACGAUGACUGACGUUGAGGCACGAAAGCGUGGGGAGCAAACAGGAUUAGAUACCCUUGUAGUC